ACCAACAGCUCACAUGGCUUAUUUUCCAUUUUAUCUGAAAAUCUUUUAAUUAGUAACUCCUUACAACUACUUAUGAACCUUGCUAAAUGUAAUAACGGUGAGAUGUUCUUGGUUGCUUUUCUGAGUAGCUGUACUGUAUUGAACUAAAGUGCUAUUCAGACUCCAAAUAUGAAGAGCCACCCUGAGGCACAGGCAAACAAAACUGUACAUGCUUGCAGCUGAGAUGUUUUCUUCAAUGCCAUCUGCUGACUCUUUUCUAUUUACACUCUGAACUCAGGAAUACAGAACUGGGACCAAUAAGUGGAAGUGACCCAAGGACAGAUUUUAACUCAAUAUGAGGCAACACUGUUUUGGAAUUCAUGGUCCUAAAGACACUGGUGGCUUUAUGAGUUUGAGAGCAUUUUGUUACUGAAAUUGUCAAGCAGAGGCUGGUGGACCCUGGUUAGGAAAGAGAAGACAAGUCCUGUGUAAGAGUGGGACUAAUUUAUCUCCUAGCUCCUUCUAGUUCUGUGACUCUGUAUUUUCUUUUCUGGAACUGUUCUAUUUUGGCCACAUGGAAAUAAAAAUAAUUAUUUCAAAAAUGA